rnacentral:rRNA from 1 species
CAGUCGCCACGGGAAUACAGAGGGUGCGAGCGUUAAUCGGAUUUACUGGGCGUAAAGCGUGCGUAGGCGGCUUUUUAAGUCGGAUGUGAAAUCCCUGAGCUUAACUUAGGAAUUGCAUUCGAUACUGGGAAGCUAGAGUAUGGGAGAGGAUGGUAGAAUUCCAGGUGUAGCGGUGAAAUGCGUAGAGAUCUGGAGGAAUACCGGUGGCGAAGGCGGCCCCCUGGACAAAGACUGACGCUCAGGUGCGAAAGCGUGGGGAGCAAACGGGAUUAGAUACCCGCGUAGUCCCUGUCUCUUAUAA